UACGUAGGGUGCGAGCGUUGUCCGGAAUUAUUGGGCGUAAAGAGCUUGUAGGCGGUUUGUCGCGUCUGCCGUGAAAAUUCGAGGCUCAACCUCGAACUUGCGGUGGGUACGGGCAGACUAGAGUGUGGUAGGGGAGACUGGAAUUCCUGGUGUAGCGGUGAAAUGCGUAGAGAUCGGAAAGAACACCAACGGCGAAAGCACUCUGCUGGGCCGACACUGACACUGAGAGACGAAAGCUAGGGGAGCGAAUGGG
rnacentral:rRNA from 1 species